GCACUGGGGUGCCGGGAACUGUAGAGCACGAGGGGUUUUGACUAAACGAAAACUAACUGUAUUCCCGUCUCCUGUCUGGUCAUUUCUUCACAACACAAAUAUUACAUUUGUGACAUUGCUUCUAUUAUGGAGCUCGCGCUUUGGCAGUUGAGAGUAGUUUGCCAAGUGAGCCAACAGCAAGACAGAAGCACCGACAUAAAUACAUGUUUUUCUUUAUUUUGAAGGGGGUCCCUGAUGAAUUCGCUAUCACAAAAGGGGUGGUCCCCGAUGCAAAGAAAUUUGGGAACCCCUGAUCGAGGUAUCUCACCCUGGACUCCAGUUUCUGGAGCUGCUUCUUGCCUCCCUUCAUGGCCAGAUUCUCAGCCUCAUCCAGGCGGUGCUGCAGGUCCUUGACUGUGACCUCCAGGUUCUUCUUCAUCCUCUCCAGAUGCGACUUGGAGCGCCAGGUCGUUCUUCUCUUGUGUCAGGGCCACCAACUUCUCCUCCAUUUGCUUCUUUGUGGCCAGAGCCUUGGCCAGGUCUGUCGUCAUCUUAUCAUAGUUCUCCUUCAUGUUGGCCAGCUCCUUCUCAGUCUCAGCGCUCUGCAGCAGGGGCUUGAUCUUGAAGUACAACUUCAUCCAUGGCCAGGUUUUGACAUUCAUGAAUGAGCGGAUGUUGUACUGGAUGGCGUAAACUGAUUCUCUGAUCGACAGAAAGAAUAGAGUGUCAUGGUGAGUGACAUGCUUAAAGCUACACUCUGUGACUCGAAGAACAACAAAAUGGCCCCCCUCCAAUGUUUGUUUACAGCAGAGGAAUGGGGCUUGAGAAAUGUAACCCCUCUUAAAUACAUAGACAGCUCUCUAGAUGCAAGUACUGACUGUUCAUGCAUUCUAAGCUCAUGAGGCAUUUUAUAUACUUCAAGAAUGAAUGGGUAAAUUCCACAAAUGUAAAUGACAAUUGAACAGCCAAGUCUCAAACUCCAACUAUUAAGCUAGAAUCCUUAGUUGCUACAUCCAUUUCUGGACUAAAUUAAUUAACCCAAAAGCUGUAGUAGACCAUUAUAAGAUGUACUUUCUCAUUCUGAACAACUCACAGCAUAUACAGUAUGUCAUCAUAAUGCAUUAGAUACAAGUGGUUGACAGAAAGCUUUGCCAAGAUGUCUACUAUUCCUCACCUCCUCUCCAUCAUCUUGGUGAACUCUCUCCUCAUGAGGAAUCCACGACUGAGAGCCUGGACCAUGCCGACCAGAGUGGCCAGCUUCUCAUCUCUCAUCUCCUCCAGGACACCCAGCAGACCGGCUUUGAAGAACACCUGAAACACAGUUAAAUGAAGAAGAAAGAACAAAAGGAUGGAUAGAUAAACUGGAGAGAUUUUCUAUGU